rnacentral:lncRNA from 1 species
CACAGCUGAGCACCCAGAGCCUCGCCGCUGGGGCUGGCAGAGGACAGAGCUCUGGGUGAGAGUUGGAAGUGUCCCUCGAAGGGGUCUCAUGGGUCUGGCACUCAGGCUCCACGGUGCAGGACACACCCUCAGGGGACACGUGGCCGCGCCACGGAUGUGGAGAAUCUAAAAGCCAGAGGGGAUGGAAGACCAUCACCCAGCCUUCUCAGACAGACAGGAACACUGGGACAAGAGGAGAUAAAUGACCUGUUGGGUGGGGCCCAAAAUAUUUCCUCUGCCUUUUGUUUUGUUUUGUGCCCCAAGAGACUGCAAGCUCUCCCUGUCCAGGAGGCUCGGCUUAUAGCAUCCCCACUGCCCACAGUUGUGGAACAAUUCUUGGAAAAACCCAUCUCACACGUGGAAUGAGCAGGCAGACAAAGAAGAGAAUCUCUUGUAAAAUGAGUUGUUUGGAAAUGCUGACUCCCGCUGUGACAGUCCUGGGAGUCUUCGUGACAGCUCCCUCCCUCUCACGGGUCGGAUCUUCCUGGACGGAGGACUCAGACACUGGGAGGAGAAGCUGUGUUUCCGGUAAUGCCCCUCUGCUCCGGGCCUCAGUCCUGUUGGUCCUGGGGUUACUGUCUCUGCAGACAGGGACUCAGGACAGGACAGGAGGGGCCUUCUCAUCUUCAUGUGCAGGGACCUCCCUGGAUAGGUCACCAGAUUCCACUUGUAGCAGACGAGCCUUGCAGGAAACCACACCAUGGGGCAAAACGGCGAGGGGUGUAAGCAGGACACCGGACUGGGCUGGGCACCCAGCCGUCUGA